UUAAAGGAAUUGACGGAAUGGCACCACCAGGAGUGGAGCCUGCGGCUUAAUUUGACUCAACACGGGGAACCUCACCAGGCCCGGACACCAGAAGGAUUGACAGAUUAAGAGCUCUUUCUCGAUUUGGUGGGUGGUGGUGCAUGGCCGUUCUUAGUUGGUGGAGUGAUUUGUCUGGUUAAUUCCGGUAACGAACGAGACUCUGGCCUAUUAAAUAGUCGACGUGGGUUUUGGUGCAUGGGCCCCGUUCGAUAAUGUCUUCUUAGAGGGAUGAGCAGCGAGUAUAGCUGCAGGAGAUUGAGCAAUAACAGGUCUGUGAUGCCCUUAGAUGUCCUGGGCCGCACGCGCGCUACACUGAAUGGAUUAGCGGGUUCUCCUUCUCCGAGAGGAGCGGGAAAUCGCGUGAAAACCAUUCGUGAUAGGGAUUGGGGCUUGCAAUUGUUUCCCAUGAACGAGGAAUUCCCAGUAAGCGCAAGUCAUCAGCUUGCGUUGAUUAAGUCCCUGCCCUUUGUACACACCGCCCGUCGCUACUACCGAUUGAAUGAUUUAGUGAGGCCUUCGGACUGGCGGUCUUGGACUGGGCUCCGCUCGCUACUACUCCAGCAAUGGGGGGCGGCGGACUCGCCAUGACGUGCCGGAAAGAUGUCCAAACUUGAUCAUUUAGAGGAAGUAAAAAUCGUAACAAGGUUUCC
rnacentral:rRNA from 1 species